GGGAGAAGAGGACGACCACCGCGUCCGCCACCGCCGAGACGACGCCCAUUGCUGCGUGCCUGCGUGGGUGCGUGUGCUUGGUCGUGGCCUCGUGGGUGCGCUCGACUACCGGAUGGGAUCUCGGACAGGUUAAAGUACAUUUGCUUGUCUGGUUCUGAUAAAAUACCAUGAUCUACCUUUGCGGCCUGAAAAUACGUUGUGGGAAAAUGGGAUAGAAUUAAUUUUUGGACUGAAAUAUGGCUGUAAAGCGAAGCAGAGAGUAUGUUUCAGGCGGCCUGUAACUAGUCCAAGUGGAAGCAAUUUAAAUUUGAAUGUUUAAA